rnacentral:tRNA from 1 species
CAUUAAGAAGCUAUGUACAAGCACUAGCCUUUUAAGCUAGAUAGAGAGGGACCCCGCCCCUCCUUAAUGA